AGGACGAACGCUGGCGGCGUGCUUAACACAUGCAAGUCGAGCGGUAAGGCCUUUCGGGGUACACGAGCGGCGAACGGGUGAGUAACACGUGGGUGAUCUGCCCUGCACUUCGGGAUAAGCCUGGGAAACUGGGUCUAAUACCGGAUAUGACUUCAGGUUGCAUGACUUGGGGUGGAAAGAUUUAUCGGUGCAGGAUGGGCCCGCGGCCUAUCAGUCUUGUUGGUGGGGUAAUGGCCUGCCAAGGCUUUGACGGGUAGCCGGCCUGAGAGGGUCGACCGGGCCACGACGUGGGACUGGAGACCACGGGCCCAGACCUCCGUACGGGAGCCAGCAAGGUGGGAAUAGUUGGAACAAGU
rnacentral:rRNA from 1 species